UACGUAGGGUGCAAGCGUUGUCCGGAAUUAUUGGGCGUAAAGAGCUCGUAGGCGGUUCGUCGCGUCGGCUGUGAAAACCUGAGGCUCAACCUCAGCCUGCAGUCGAUACGGGCAGGCUAGAGUUCGGUAGGGGAGACUGGAAUUCCUGGUGUAGCGGUGAAAUGCGCAGAUAUCAGGAGGAACACCGGUGGCGAAGGCGGAUCUCUGGGCCGUAACUGACGCUGAGGAGCGAAAGCUAGGGGAGCGAAUGGG
rnacentral:rRNA from 1 species